AUUGUAUCCACGAUUGGGGAAUUUUCCGCAAUGGGCGCAAGCCUGACGGAGCAAGACCGCGUGGGGGAGGAAGGUUUGUGGACUGUAAACCCCUUUUAUCAGAGAAGAAGAACUGACGGUAUCUGAUGAAUCAGCCUCGGCUAACUCCGUGCUAGCAGCCGCGGUAAUACGGAGGAGGCAAGCGUUAUCCGGAAUUAUUGGGCGUAAAGCGUCCGUAGGUGGGUGAGGAAGUCUGCUGUCAAAGCGUGAGGCUUAACCUCAUAAGGGCAGUGGAAACUCUUCGUCUAGAGUGCGACAGGGGCAAGGGGAAUUCCUAGUGUAGCGGUGAAAUGCGUAGAGAUUAGGAAGGACACCGGUGGCGAAAGCGCCUUGCUGGGUCUGCACUGACACUGAGGGACGAAAGCUAGGGGAGCGAAAGGGAUUAGAUACCCCUGUAGUCAAUCGUGGAUACAAU
rnacentral:rRNA from 1 species